GCCGGGAUGUUGGAAUUGGGAGACAAUGCAGACUUAAAAUCUGUUGGGCGCAAGCCCGUGCGGGUUCGAGUCCCGCUCCCGGCA
rnacentral:tRNA from 1 species